rnacentral:rRNA from 1 species
AUUGAACGCUGGCGGCAGGCCUAACACAUGCAAGUCGAACGAGUGGCGGACGGGUGAGUAAUGUCUGGGAAACUGCCUGAUGGAGGGGGAUAACUACUGGAAACGGUAGCUAAUACCGCAUACCAUCGGAUGUGCCCAGAUGGGAUUAGCUAGUAGGUGGGGUAAAGGCUCACCUAGGCGACGAUCCCUAGCUGGUCUGAGAGGAUGACCACCCACCCUGGAACUGGAACACGGUCAAGACUCCAAGUGGAGUGAGAGGUGGGGAAUAUUGCAAAGUGGGCGCAAGCCUGAUGCAGCCAUGCCGCGUGUAUGAAGAAGGCCUUCGGGUUUUAAAGUACUUUCAGCGGGGAGGCGUUACCCGCAGAAGAAGCACCGGCUAACUCCGUGCCAGCAGCCGCGGUAAUUC